AUACGGAGGAUGCGAGCGUUAUCCGGAUUUAUUGGGUUUAAAGGGAGCGUAGGUGGGAUAUUAAGUCAGCUGUGAAAGUUUGGGGCUCAACCUUAAAAUUGCAGUUGAUACUGGUUUCCUUGAGUACGGUACAGGUGGGCGGAAUUCGUGGUGUAGCGGUGAAAUGCUUAGAUAUCACGAAGAACUCCGAUUGCGAAGGCAGCCUGCUGGACUGUAACUGACGCUGAUGCUCGAAAGUGUGGGUAUCAAACAGGAUUAGAUACCCUAGUAGUCCACACAGUAAACGAUGAAUACUCGCUGUUUGCGAUAUACAGUAAGCGGCCAAGCGAAAGCGUUAAGUAUUCCACCUGGGGAGUACGCCGGCAACGGUGAAACUCAAAGGAAUUGACGGGG
rnacentral:rRNA from 1 species